GACAUAGACAGAGACGAGAGAGAGAGACGAGAGAGAGAGAGAGGAGAUGGAGUUCGAUGGGUAAGAAAGGGAGGAGACGCGACGGUCGGUCACCACUACCGCUCGUCAUAACCACCUCCGAUUGAACCUUGUCACCUCCUCCUCUAUCAAACCCCUCUGAAUCUCCAACCUUGUCACCACCACCAUCUCUACUCAGAUCCAUCUUGACCGGAGUCGCUACAACCACCGUUCGUCAUAACCACCACUGGUCACAUCUCCGUCUCUCACAUCGAUUUGGAGUAUGCUUCUCAGACGCAAGAACUCCAAGAGGGAUGAGAUGGAAGUGGUGGUGGUGAGAUGGAAGUGGUGGUGGUCUCGGCAUCAACAGUGGUAGUCUCGGCGUCGACAAUGGUGGCUGAGUGCAGUGGAGGAGAUUGAAGAAGCUUGCUGUGGUGGUCGUGGCUGGUGGUAUGGGCGUCAACAAGGAGUGCGGCGGAGAUGAAGAAGAACGUGGUUUAGUUAGGGUUAGUUAGGUUUAGUUAGGGUUGGUUAAUAAACCGGGUUUGUAUGUAAACCAGUUUUUGUAAUAAACCGAUAUCAUUUUGUAAACCAAAAUUUUAAUAAUAAAUAAUUUUAUUCUCAAACCAAA